rnacentral:rRNA from 1 species
GAUGAACGCUGGCGGCGUGCCUAAUACAUGCAAGUCGAGCGAACAGACGAGGAGCUUGCUCCUCUGACGUUAGCGGCGGACGGGUGAGUAACACGUGGAUAACCUACCUAUAAGACUGGGAUAACUUCGGGAAACCGGAGCUAAUACCGGAUAAUAUAUUGAACCGCAUGGUUCAAUAGUGAAAGACGGUUUUGCUGUCACUUAUAGAUGGAUCCGCGCCGCAUUAGCUAGUUGGUAAGGUAACGGCUUACCAAGGCAACGAUGCGUAGCCGACCUGAGAGGGGGAUAGGCCACACUGGAACUGAGACACGGUCCAGACUCCUACGGGAGGCAGCAGUAGGGAAUCUGCCGCAAUGGGCGAAAGCCUGACGGAGCAACGCCGCGUGAGUGAUGAAGGUCUUCGGAUCGUAAAACUCUGUUAUUAGGGAAGAACAAAUGUGUAAGUAACUAUGCACGUCUUGACGGUACCUAAUCAGAAAGCCACGGCUAACUACGUG